AAGAUUUACAGAAAAAGAUCAAUGGCCACAGUUUGAGACAAAGUUGACCCAGGAGUAGAUGCUUGGUUUAAUUAGGUUUUUAUACUUGUUAAAUGUGAUUGAAAGACUUGGGUCUUACCUGUGUUAUCUAGAAUUAGAGGGACAGUUUAAUUUCCUUACAGAAAAACUGCUCAGUCCCAGGCUAUGAGGAAACCCCAGAUUGGCUCCUCAGGAAUGUGUCUUUAUUUCACAGAGGCACCACUGAGCUGAAACUGUAUAGUACACGUGCUACGCGAAGGUCUUUCUUGCCGGACUACAGUGUGUGCUUACCUGUGCAUUAGUCUCUGUAAACCCUGGGAUGGCACUCUGUACAUUGAUCUAAGAAGCUUAAGGGCAAGGCAUGAGGACUGGGUUUUUAUUAAACAAUUUAGUAAUUAUAAAAGUUUCUUGUGUUUACUAGUAAAGAAUUUUAGAAAUUAUUUUAAUUGAACAAAAUUUUUAAAAAAAACUUUGUAAUUGGAGGGAAAAGUUUGAGGGUGGAGGGGGUAGAGGAAAGUGGGCCACAAAAUACAAAUUUACCUCUUUCAUUGGGUAGCUCUUCAGGCCAUUGAUGAGAUACAUAGACUUGCACAUUGGAGAGAAAAUACAGAGAUUAGACUUGUAUAUUAAACCUGCAGACACGGCCGUGUGCUGAGAUGUGUAGCUCUGCUCCCGUAUGGGGCUCUGCAGAACAAAGAGGUGCUGCAGUGAGCAGCUUCCUGGGACCUGCAGGGACACUCACUCUCCGUCACCUCUGUUCUAGUGACUAACAAAAUUUGUGUUCAAGGUAACUUGCCUGUUGACUUUUUUUUUUUUUUUUUUUGGUCUUCCAUUUUUGUCUUCCUUUAAUUUGACUUUAUGUAGUUCUGGAAGUAACAGAUAAACUAUAGUACAAAAGAAAAACUGUGAGCUAUAUAGUGCUUUUUUAAGUACAUAUUUUAAAGUUUCUUAAAGCAGUUGAUUUCUCCUCUCCACUUCCUCCUACUGAACCAAUUUCUGUUAUGAAAUUUGCUAUCAGUGGUGGGGUCUUAACAUGAUAGGAGUUAGAUUUUGUAUCCCAUAACUGGUAAUACAGGUUUUUUGUUUGUUCUUUUUUAUUAAUGUAGCUUCUUGAGGGGAAGUCUGUUUAAUCUCCUAUUCUCAAAGCACACCGCAGUUCUGGUUGAACUAAACCUUGGUGAACAGAGGGCACAGGAUCCCGAGAGUUGUUGAGUGGUCCCUUGCUAUAGUUUCUAGGUGUGUGUUUACUCAGUGAAUCAGUAACCUGAACUACCUACAGCAGCACAGCAGUGUGGCCGCAGUGGGACUAGUGGGCUAUGUUAGUGCCGCACAUGCCCUGGCUUCUCUGUGUAGUCAGACAUACUGAAGGUUAGCAUUGAACACUGGCCUGUUUUCUAGCCAAAAUGUUCAGACGUGAGCAACCACUUCUUUGAGAGUGAAGCAGGAACUGACCAUUGAUAUUUGUAUCUAUGUGUACUGACUAAUAAUGCUGGCAUCCUGGACAAUACUGUGAUCUGGGAAAGCUCUGAAAACUGGUUCCAGCCGCCCUGCACACCAGACUGUGCUUUUCCAUGCUGUUAUAUUGUGCUCCUUUUAAAUCAAGUAGCAUGCUGCAUUCCUCAGGAUAGUAGCUUUUGCUGUGUAAUGUCACUUGCUUUGAAUUUUCAAUCAUGCUUUCGCCAUUACAUUUAACCAAUGAUGUCAUUAAGUUCUAUUAAAGUGUCAUUCCUUUGGGAAGCAAGGGAUUCCCACUUGCAGAAUUUUAAGAUGAAGGUAGCAUGUUUUGUUCAGAAGGUGGAAAUAGGGACUCGAACAGUGUCUUCAGAAGCUGAUCUGUUGAGAUUUGUGUGCACAGU
rnacentral:lncRNA from 1 species